rnacentral:rRNA from 1 species
UACGUAGGGUGCAAGCGUUGUCCGGAAUUAUUGGGCGUAAAGAGCUCGUAGGCGGUCUGUCGCGUCGGAUGUGAAAAUCCAGGGCUCAACCCGUGGACCUGCAUUCGAUACGGGCAGACUAGAGUUCGGCAGGGGAGACUGGAAUUCCUGGUGUAGCGGUGAAAUGCGCAGAUAUCAGGAGGAACACCGGUGGCGAAGGCGGGUCUCUGGGCCGAUACUGACGUGGAGGAGCGAAAGCGUGGGGAGCGAACAGG